GAGACCGAUAGCGAACAAGUAGAGUGAUCGAAAGAUGAAAAGCACCUUGAAAAGAGGGUUAAAUAGUACGUGAAAUUGUUGAAAGGGAAGCGCUUGUGACCAGACUUGGGCGCGGCGGAUAUCCGGGGUUCUCCCCGGUGCACUUCGCCGUGUCCAGGCCAGCAUCAGUUCGUCGCGGGGGAAAAAGGCUUCGGGAACGUGGCUCCCCUGGGAGUGUUAUAGCCCGUUGCAUAAUACCCUGCGGUGGACUGAGGACCGCGCAUCUGCAAGGAUGCUGGCGUAAUGGUCACCAGCGACCCGUCUUGAAACACGGACCAAGACGUGUAAUUCGCGAUCUUCGAUCCCCUAGCACGAGGUAUUUCAGGGUUACUCGGGGACGUCCAACUUUCCGGAAAUAUCUGCGGAAGAAGACCGGGCUAUACCCUUAAGGCCUACCCCCACACCAUGCCAC
rnacentral:rRNA from 1 species